GGGGAUAUAGUUCAGUGGUAGAGCAUGUGGCUAGUAAGCACAAGUCCCUGGCUUUGAUUCCCACUACCACCA
rnacentral:tRNA from 1 species